GUUAGGAAUAUUGGACAAUGGGCGCAAGCCUGAUCCAGCCAUGCCGCGUGAGUGAUGAAGGCCUUCGGGUUGUAAAGCUCUUUAGCCGAUGAUUAUAAUGACUGUAGUCGGAAAAUAAGCCCCGGCUAACUUCGUGCCAGCAGCCGCGGUAAUACGAAGGGGGCGAGCGUUAUUCGGAAUCACUGGGCGUAAAGCGUGCGUAGGCGGUUUUGUAAGUUAGGAGUGAAAGCCCAGGGCUCAACCCUGGAAUUGCUCUUAAAACUACAAGGCUAGAAUGUCGGAUAGGAUAGCGGAAUUUCCAGUGUAGCAGUGAAAUGCGUAGAUAUUGGAAGGAACACCAGUGGCGUAAGCGGCUAUCUGGACGACUAUUGACGCUGAGGCACGAAAGCGUGGGGAUCAAACAGGAUUAGAUACCCGGGUAGUCC
rnacentral:rRNA from 1 species